rnacentral:tRNA from 1 species
GGAACCGUGCCUGAACCAAAGGACCACUUUGAUAGAGUGAAUUAUGAGGGUUAGAGUCCCUCCAGUUCUU